rnacentral:tRNA from 1 species
UCCUUCGUGGUGAAAUGGUAAACACGUAUGAUUCAAAAUCAUGUGCUUUAAGCUUGCCGGUUCAAGUCCGGUCGAAGGUA